GGAGAGGUGGCUGAGUGGUCGAAAGCGGCGGUCUUGAAAACCGUUGAUCCGAAAGGUCCCGGGGGUUCGAAUCCCUCCCUCUCCGCCA
rnacentral:tRNA from 1 species